AUGUUACCUAAAAAACAUCUAUCUGGCUGUGAAAAAAGAAACAACAAGAAAAGAGUAGACAAGUUGAUUAAAUCUCAGGAAGGCACUAUGGAUAUGUUUGUCUUGAGGACUGGUGCUGCUACAAAUUCAGAGCAAUUAUAUAUCACAAAUGGUGAAGAAAAACCUGAUGAUACUAAGAAUGCCGUUGAGGAAAAUCAUGUCGAGAAAAAUAAUGCUGCGGAAAAUGAUGCCGAUCAGCACACGGAAAAUUUUAGUGACCAUGAGAAUCUUGGAAAUGCAGAUGAGCAGGGUUCUUCUUUUGAUAUAUAUGAUCCUAGAACUUGA
rnacentral:rRNA from 1 species